AUCUGAUGAUUAGGAUACUGAUUCAGCUUCUUCUUGAACCUUUCCCAAGUUUCAUAGAGGGCUUCAGUUGGAAGCUGUCUGAAAGUAGUGAUUUCAUCUCUUAACU
rfam:Capsicum annuum cultivar Zunla-1 chromosome 3, whole genome shotgun sequence